CAGUAAGUCAAAUAUUCCAGCCCUGAUACAUCAGGAAUUAUUCUGAGGAUUCAACACGCAUAUUCAGUCAUGGUAGUUUGUAAUUAUCCCUUGUUUAAAAGUGUUACCAGGGUACCCUCUUAACAACCUGCCCCCUUCCCCCUUUUAUGCAUUUUGCCUAUAUGAAAAUAGCCUUGUGAUCCAAGUCACUAAGGGUGCACACUUAUAUAAAAAUGUCCAGUGCACCAUUUAACAUAUUAAAGUGCUCAUUAUACAAUUGUUUAAUUUCUCAAUUCACUAUUAAAUGUAUAUUAAUGUAACGGUUGUUGAUAAUAAUACAAAGCAGGGUUCAUAUUCAUAUAUCAUUAACAUGUUCUAGUCCUAAUAUGCAUGUAAUAUUUGCCAGUUGACGUUAAACACCUGUCAUGAGACUAAAAAAAAAAAAAAAUUAAAAAAUUUUAAACUUGAAAUAUACAAGUAUAAUUUGUAAAAUUUAGAACAUUGUACAUGUAUUUCUCAAAUCUAUUAGCUGUACAGUGACCGAUAGCUGCUUACAUCCAUGUCCUUUUGGUCAAUUCAAGAUAAUCGUAUCAUUGGCAAUCAUACCACAUCUCCAUUUUUUUAUAUAAGUUAAGUAGGUAUGAAUUUAAACUUGGUAAAGUUUAUUUAUAUGUAACAUUCAAGAAUUAUUAUUUAGUGCACUGGACAUUAAAAGUAGUACAUUCCCCAGUGAUCAAGCAGCUUUUGAGCAAUCUCUUUGUCAGCUAACAGACUCUCCCUGUUCUCCUUUCCAUCAUCUUUUGUUGUCUCCUCUUUCAGGGCAAAAUAUCUCUUACUGACCUGAAUCUGUAGCUUAGAGAAAGAUUGAUCAAAAGCUGACAUGAAAGAUUUAUGACCGGGGUGUUUUUGCUUCAAUUCCCUGUACUUAAGACAGUCAUCCACAUCUGAUGAUGGGCCAAGUAGUUGGACAACCAGAUCAAAUGUUGUCUUCUUUCUACAUGAUACUGAAGCAUAAAAAAAUGUACAGAUGUCUAGCAAUGAAUAUUCACUGGUUUUCAAACAAGAAAGUGAAGAUUGGAAGAAAUAUGUAGCUUGUUAACAGAAAUGAGGCUUCUGAAAUGCAAAAAAAAAAUCAGGGACGAUGAUCUGAAGUGGGACAGCUGGGGACCCUGGUUACGGUAACAUGGUUCAUCAGGGCCGUCAUGGAAGAUUAAGUUGUUGUUAGUGGAAUGCCACCAAAUGUCGUUACCAGGAAGUAAAAAGUCUGAAAUUCUUUCGAGAUGAGCUUGCAGAAGUGUUGGUUGCUUUGAAACGAUAUGAGCCGGAAUUGUAGAAUUUGGACGUGGAGC